rnacentral:misc_RNA from 1 species
GUGAAUCAUCGAAUCUUUGAACGCACAUUGCGCCCUGUGGUAUUCCGCAGGGCAUGCCUGUUCGAGCGUCAGUACAACACUCAAGCUCAGCUUGGUCUUGAGCCCAGCCGGUCACGGCGGGCUUUAAAAUUAGUGGCGGCGCCUCCUGGCUCUUAGCGUAGUAAUACCCCUCGCUACUGAGUCCUGGUGGACGCUGGCCAUCAACCAAACUCUCUAAGUUUGACCUCGGAUCAGGUAGGGAUACCCGCUGAACUUAAGCAUAUCAAUAAGCGGAGGA